GGGAGUUGGGGGGAGUUGUAGCCAAGAAUCCACACGAGGUCGUGAUGAUUCCAAAAGGCUCAGGUUUCACAAAUAAUGAUAGCUGAUCAUGACCAUCCAUGUCGUCCUCACUAUGUGCCAGGUAUUGGGCUAAGUACUUUAUAAUUCUUUUCAUCUCAUUCGAUCGUCACACCAACUCAGAGGAAUAAAGGACAAUUCCUUGUUGACGUUGACGGAGGGGAAUGGAAGUGCUUUAAGGAUAACAGUUUUCUGACCUAACUUCCUCCACCUCUACCACUGGAGAAGAAUUAUCCUUCAUGCCAGCCUGCCCCCUUCUCUCUCUCACCUGGGGACAUGGAAUGGUUCAGGAGGAAACAUCAAGUGGGAUAUUUUAUAUGAAUUCCACAGUAUUAUGACCUCUAUUUUAUAGACAGGAAUAAAAUCAAGAGAGAUUGCGGCUUGCCUACCUCAUCCAGCUGGCUAAUUCUGGAAUAGGAAUGAAAAAUAACAGUACUCUGCACUCUUGACUGGACCAUGUUGCUGGGAGCCAUCAGGCCACAACAACUUGACAGAGUCACAUGUGGUAGCUAAGGAGGCCAAAGAGUGACCCUUGGCAAGAUGUGCUUGCCCACUCUAUCCCCUUUGCAUAACCUCUCUCAUCAAUGCCCCUUACCUAUGGAAUUGACAUGAUUAUUAUUCCCCCGAGUCCCGGAAGGAAUAAUGCAAGAGAAAAAUACAUAUACCCUUAUUCCCCAAAACAUCACCAAAAGAUCAGACUCUCAAACCCAACCCCAAAAGACUAUCAUGGGUCAACAGGAUCUCUUGAUUUAUGACAUUCUAUAACUGUUCUGAUUGCAAUUUUGGAGAAUUUUGCAAUAACCCAUUGAGAUUUUUAGAAACAUCCAUUAUAAUAAUGGCUUAUACUAAGAACAUAUUUCACUGGAGAAGAAAAUAUAAGCUCAAAAUAUUAGAGUUCAUGUUGUUGGUGGAUUUCUAAUUUAGAAUAACAAAUAAUACAAAGAAAAGCAGGAGAAGGAAAUUAAAGGAAACUCUACACUGAUAGAAAGUGGAAAUAAGAACGAUCAACUAAAGGAUAAAAGAAGCUAAGAAGACACAAAGUCUUCCUGAAAUUUUGGAAAUACUGAACUUUAAAAAGAAAAUAGUGUCAACGAAUCAGCGAAAUUCUCAAACUCCGAAUGUGGUUAUUGUUAGAGACCAGUCUUAGACUGCCAUUCACCAUGCGUUCUUGAAGCCGACUCAAUUGCUCAGUCUCCUCUUGGAAGGGCUACAGAGAUCAGACAUAUUUCAUUUAGAGAAGCCACAUAAUAAAGAAGUUUGCUAACAUCGGCACUACUUCGUGGGGCAGGGGGCAUGGGGACAAAGAACCCAACACAGAACCUAACACUAUUGCUCACAGUAUGAGGCCCAACAUAUCAGCAGGAGAUGCCAACUUGAGUGUUAAUACACAUUGAUCCUUUGAGCCAGCUGCUGGGAGGGACUCCAAACACUUGAUGAUAACUAACACAUGCCACUUCUCGGAUUUUUUUGGUACUGAAUCCCAGCAUUUUCUUGUAAACGACAUCUUAUAAACCUGCUUCCUUGUGCCCUGGCGUUGACCGUGAUACCUCUUAAACAAGAUCAUGCAGCAACAGUGAGCUACUUUCUAGCACGGUCUCCAGGGGCUCCAACUUAACUUGUAUAUGAAGACUCCUGGCUCUUAGACGGGAUUGAGGCAGUGAAGCCCCGUCGGCUCAGCAGCCUCUUCAUCUGGAAGAACAAUCCAGACACCAACAAAUGGUUUUGUUGUUUCCCCCAGGAUUUAUUGCACUAAUGUUAACUGGCCCAUGACUCACCUGAAUAAACAGAAUCUCAGAAAAUGGAAUAUAAGCACGAGACAUUUCGGAUAAGGAAGGAAGGUGUAGCUGUCCCCAGACACACCUUAGUCAAAGUAGUCCAGAUUCAAGCAUUCAGUCAGUGGGUCCAGACUCUUGGGUUGCAGUUCCCCUUCUCCGCCAGUGUGUGAACAAGACCCGGGUCAAUUUGAAGGCGUGAUAGAGGCUUGGUCAUGAGGUGAUGGCAAAUGACACGGUACAGGAAGCAUCUUGUGGGUUUUUGAGAGAAUCAGACACACCUUAUGGAGAAAAACAGUAAGUCGCUUUGGUAGUUCUCCAGGCUAAAUGUUAAGGAUUCCAAUUUAAGAGUGGGGCAAGAAGGAGCAGAAAACCCAGGUCUUCGAGAAGUAGCUGCUUUGCAAGUGCACGGGGCAGGUUGAGUGGGCUAUUCUCAGAGCGAGGAUUCCCCUCACAAAAGCGAGCUGGUUACCUUUUUGCUGGUGAAAGACUCCGAGCAGGCUGGAUAUAGAGUAUAGGGACAUCUAAAUGGAUGCAGAGCGACUGUUACUGGAGGUGAGAAACAAUUCUAACAAGAGAGAAACGUAUUAGAAGGGAGCAAAUCUUUGGAGCCCCGCUGCAUGGGCCUGUGUGGAACCCUCCAAGGACCAGCAGGAGGAAAAGGGCUUGCUGCUGUCUCGUGGUCGUUCUCCUUUGACAUGUGUGGAACAUACUCGUAUCUCAAUAUUCUCCUGUCACUGUCCUCGAAGGUUUUAGCCCAACCUUAGUGUACAGACACGCUGUGUUUGCCAGAGUGUGCCUCAGGCUUUCGGACGGAAGGCUUUAUGCCAACAGUUCUUCUUAAAAAAUUAAUUUAGAAUAGUUCUUCACGGUUCCAUGGUUCAUGUUCGUUCCCUCCCCUCUUCCCUCAUCCCUCCCUGAGCUGACAAGCAAUUCCGGUCUAUACCAAUUGUUCUUGGCUAUUGUCUAAGCAAACUCAUUUGCCAAAAGUUACUUAAGUCUAAUAGGUGAUUAUGUUAAAAUGGGAAACAAGACUUGGGCCAUGGCAGCAUGGGAUUCGGAUGUUCCCUCAAGCUGGUGGAAUAGAAUCCCAGAGAAACAGCUAAGAAACUGCCUCUCUUUGGACCCGGAGGAAGGAGGAGCAGCUUGAGAGACUAGCAGUCACACAAGCCCGGGAAUAUCUUUGGGGGUGGAGAAGGAGGCCGUCUUCAUUCUUCUGCUGGACAGCUAGAACAGACCCCCUCCGGCUAGUUCUCGCGGGAUCUUUGGACUUUGCCCGCCAAAAGACGGUUGGAAGAUUACUAAUCCCUAAAGACGCUGCCUUUAAUGUAUUUAGAAAUAAGAUAGUUUGUCGUCAGAUAGCUUAUAAUUUAGAGGGUGAAACAGUUAAGAUCUGUCCCUUUCCCUUCUUUUCCUUUCCUUGUUUUAAUAAAAUCAAAAUGUUUAUAUGUUUCCUUCUAUGUUUCUUCCCUAAAACCCCUUUAACCCUAUUGUAAUAUUUCAGUAUGAUUAGUAAAGGAAAGCACAUUAGUGGAGGCUCAGGAGCGACAGUAUUAGAAGUAGAAUCUUAAGUUACAGACAAUAAGCAUUUAUUAAGUACCUACUAUGUGCUAAGCCUUGAGACCACAAAUGGGCUCAAAAUAUAUUCUCUGCCCUCAAGGAGCUCAUAAUCUAAUGAGGGAGCUCAUAAUCUAAUAAUAUGUAUAGACAAGCCCCACACACAGCACAAAUAGGAAAUAAUUAAAGAGUCAAGGCGCCCCAAUGAAGGAUUAGAAAUGGCUUCCUAUAGGAGAUGUCCUUUUUACUUCAGCUCUGCACUGUACAAAACCCACUGUGCACUUCAUUUCUAUUUUAUUUCCCUGCCGUCAGUAACCUUGACAGGCUUGUCUGGUAGCUGCCAGACAAGAAGUGCCUAUUCCAUAGCACUGGUUAUGUGAAAAGGAGGGAACCAACAAAGUGGCUUUUGGAGAGCUUUGCUUCUGCUCCUAGAAAAGGCUUGACCCCUGGGCUAUUAGUGCUUUCUUCCCACCCCACCCAGCUCAUCCCACAAAUAACGUUGUAUACACUCUAUAUGGGCUCAUCUGCAGAGUCACUUUCUUAUCCUAGAAUGUACAUUUUCUGAGGGCUAGGAAUAUUCCAUCGUAAUACUUAAAGCAAUUGUUGAGGAUUGAAAAGGGACCGGGGAUAAGGGAGGGUUUAUAACAGGGAAUGGAGGAGUAGAAGGGACAGAGGGAAUAUGGAUGCUGUGAGGUAAAAGGAGAGAGAUGCCCCCUGCCAAGAGGCUGUUUUUGAAAAAUGGGGUUCCCGAGAAAUGGGCCACCUAUGAUAACCUGAGGGAAUGUCUUCUCUAUUGAUUGUUGUUGAAGAUACCCCAGGGCAGGUAAGCACAGACCCUCCUUAGGGACAAGCCUCUACCUCCCUCACCACCACCAAGGUCACCCAGCAAGGGUCCAAUAACGACCUUUUAUGGUUGAAUAGCUGUCCUUAGGUUCUGUUCCCUCUAUGUUCCCCUGAAAUUAUAGACCUCCUUCUUAUCUGACUGUGGGUUAUUUAAAUAAAGAUGAAUUUAAUAACAUGUUUGGAUUGGUAAGGUAUCAGGGUAGAAGGAUAAGGAUUGCCCUAUACUUUUCACAGGUUGCGUUUGAGUCUUUCUCAGCUUUUGAGCUGUGGUCAGACCUUGCAGGCUUGUGGAGGAUUUCUUUUAUUCCUGUCUAUGCUAAUCUAUGCUAGCUGUCUUAAGUUCAAAACCUUUAGCAGAAGACAGCAAGAGGAAGAAAAAGUUCUGACCUUCAGAGCUGGUUGGGCCUGUCUUUUCGGGCUAAUGCCCUGAAGACCAGUGCUACUGUUUAGACUGCUCCCCUUAAAUCCUUUUGUUUGAUGACAUGAUCACAGGAAUCCAGAUAGAGUACACAGUUGGGAAAAAUCCAGGAAUAGAGGUACUUCUAUCCAGAGACAAGGAGAGAGCGCUCCUUCCAGUCUGAGGACCAGGAAAGAAUGUCCCCUUGAGAGCAACUGUCACUCUCCAAGUUGCUUCUCCCCCUAUCAACUGUCAUUGUUGUCAAUAUCUUUUCUCUAACAUUCUAACUGUUUGCGGUCUCCUCCACCUCAGUGGCAGAAAAUCCAGAGCUUGAUUCAGUUUUCCUUUCCACACCAUUUAUGUUUUUGUAUUCCCAGAGCCUAGUAGUAUAAUUCUUUGCAUACAAGUACAUAAUAAUUCCUGAUUACCAAUACUUGGUAAUAGUUUGGAUAUGAGUAAUAAUGAGAAGCAGUGUGUUAGAAGAAAGAAAUGGCUUUGGAGCCACAAGGACCUGAGUUCAAGUCCUGCCACUGUCACAUACUUGCUAUAUAAUCUGGGAAAGUCUACUUAAAUAGAAAUGUGUCCAUGUAUACAGGAUAUUUGUUGGCUGUAUAUUGACUUAGAAAAUCACAUAUUAAUAUAAUA